CUACUAGGAUAAUGAUUUGAACGGGCGUCUUACUUGGUAACGGGUAAGAUGAUCACUGGGUGAAUUGCUGGAACUUCCUUAAACUUUGUCAACCAAAGCGGAGUUGGAAACGACAAACGAAAUGGUUUGAAAAUGACAAAGAUAGAUGGAUAAUCAGCAGCCAAGCUCCUGUCUCGAAAGAGUGGAGAAGGUUCAACGACUAGAACAUACCGUCUAAGGCUAGUGAGCUAUGACGAUGAAGUUCGUAGGGCAAGGAAAACCUUGUUCGAAGUGCCCAGCUCCUAACAAUGUUUAGGAUGAAGAUAUAGUCUAACCAAUGAUCGAAAGACAUUG
rnacentral:ncRNA from 1 species